CCCUCCUGGCGGGUGCUAUAAUGCAGUCGAGCGACAGAUAAGGAGCUUGCUCCUUUGACGUUAGCGGCGGACGGGUGAGUAACACGUGGAUAACCUACCUAUAAGACUGGGAUAACUUCGGGAAACCGGAGCUAAUACCGGAUAACAUAUUGAACCGCAUGGUUCAAUAGUGAAAGGCGGCUUUGCUGUCACUUAUAGAUGGAUCCGCGCCGUAUUAGCUAGUUGGUAAGGUAACGGCUUACCAAGGCAACGAUACGUAGCCGACCUGAGAGGGUGAUCGGCCACAGUGGAACUGAGACUCUGUCCAUACUCCU
rnacentral:rRNA from 1 species